rnacentral:lncRNA from 1 species
CCAAAUUCGAGCUCAGGUAAGGUUUAUUUAUGAGAACAACUACUUUUGAAAAUCAAAAACGACUUGAAACUAAUAAAACUGAAUACGGUUUUAUUAUUCAAUUUUUAGAAAUUUAUGUUGUCAUGUUUUUUUUUAUCAAGUAUCUUAAAAUCAAAAUUUGAUGAGAUUUUUUUUUCUUUUGAACCCUUCAUCACCUUUUUUCUUUGCUUAUUUCGUCAACAGAAAGAUAAUCCAAUAGAUUGUAUUUCAGUGGUUAACAUUUCGAAGUAUUAUGCUAUAUCAUUUAUUUAUGUAUAUUUCUAUCUUGAUUGUUCAUGUAUUUAUUUGUACUGUAAUCCUGUCAUGUUAUUUUUGCGUUUUUUUAAACAUUACUAUUCAGCGCGAGGUUUGGCUAGCCACAACACCAGGUUCAACCCAUGAUUUGUUUCUUAAGGUCUGUACCAAGUCUGCAAUAUGGCAGUGGUUAUCACAUAGUGCUAUGAAUGUUGCAUUUGCGUUUGUUUUUGUUGCAGUUCAGUGUUUCUGUUGUUUCGUUUUUUUCUUGUUAGAGUUGAUGUGUUUCCUCGCUUUUAGUUUGUAACCAAGAUUUGUAACAUAAAUUGGAUUCUUUCCUUUGAUGUUUUAAUGAAAUAAUUUGCUUAAAAAGAGUGUUGAGGGAAAACCAUUGUAUAUUAUAUGCAAAUUAAUGUUGUACCAUGCUUUGCUAAUUAAAUAUGAAACUCAACUAGAAUCCAAAGGAAAGAAGGCGAAGCUUAGUUUAGGGACUACAUACGAGCAUUCCGUUCGUCGUUCAAAAAAGAAGGGGGGGGGUAACUAUAGAAAAAGGAAUAAAUAUCGGAUACAAAAAUUUGUGAAAAACUGAACAUGAUUCUUUUUACGAUCAGAUAGGGGCACUACCUACGCCCCCUGGAUCCGCCACUGUUUAGUGUUUAAUCAAUAAAAUUGUGUUUACAUUUAAUAAAUCAUCUAAUAAUCGAAAUUAUAAAAUAACGGAAGAAAAGCAGUUUGUACGAAAACUUUAAAUGUAUAAAUAUGCAUUUUUCAAUGACAUGAACAACCAGUGAAAUAUGAUUAAUUUGUAUGAUACCUUGAAAACCAACAAAAAAAACCCCAAAUCUUACCGUCAUUAGAGUAAUUAUUUAAUCCUUGUCACUUGGAUCUGAUAUUUUUAUCACCUUCUGUUGCCAUACAUGUACGAUUAUAAACGGGGCGCAAAACUAAAAAAUCGGGAAAGUCCGACUUUUCUUUACUUUCUGCAAAUUCUAGGGCUCUAGUAAAUUGAAUACGCAGCAGAAGAUCAUACAUGUACACUACACGCAAACGUGACUUGCGCGAGCUUUCAUUUCAUUGGAUAAAACUGUAACGUGAUCAAUUUCCAAUAAUUUAGUUCAAGGUCUUCAAGCUGUCAAACAUUUUAUUUAUAUUACAAAUUUUGUAUACCAUGUGUCGUACUCAUUAACAUAUUAAAAAAAAAAUCAUGCUUUGGAUUCGUUUGUUUAAAAUAUGUUAACUCAUCAGAACCAUGGUAAUAUAGUACUUGUUUUCUCUCAAUCGAUUUAUGAUUUUGAACAGCGGUAUACCACUGUUGCCUUUAUUUGUUAGCCGUCGCUAUGGCCAUGGCUAUGUUAGUCUUGAAUGUUGUAUUUUAUUUUUAGUUCAUUUAUAUGUUUCGGUGUCUAUUUCUCUGGAUCAGUAUACAUCAGAGAGCGGGUUUUCCUUGCUACAUUAAAGUUGGGUCAAUCCGAUCUAUAUUUCAUGCUGUAUAUACUUGAAUUUUGCAUGUUAUUUUUUGCAUUCAGUACUAAGAAACAAAUUUUUGAUGCGUUAAGCCUUUUUCAUCUGUUUUUUUUUUAUAGUUUGUUCUUAUGUAGUACUAUUACAUUUGAACACUUCUAUCCCAAGUUAAUGGAGGAUCGAACUAGACUGACACACUAAGCCGGUUAUUUAUCAUUAUGUAACAGUCCGUAGGAAGACAUAUCACCAUACUUGAAAAAGUUGUUUUGACUUCGAACAGUUUUGUAUUUGAUCUUACAUAUAAAUGGCGUGUGCUAGGCGGAGGGGAAGUCAAUUUUUUGGUUUGACCUGGUUUUGGUUUGACCUGGUUUUGGUUCGUGAACAUUACGUUUCAUCGGAACAUACGAGACAAUAAAAUUCAAAUGUCGGGGCAAAGUAUGUGAGACAUACAUCAAAGGAAACAUAUACAGUAUGACAUAUGUAGGUCGAUAGCAAGUCUUUAAUAUUGAUAUCAAUGACUAUAAUCAGGAACCCACAGGAAUAAAUUUUUGCAGGAAAAUAAUCAAAACGAAAGCAUCAAAACGAUUGAAUAGUGUAGUACAAUCAAAUUUGAUACAAGACCUUUGCUAGAUCGUAGUGACGAAUACUUAUGAAAUACUUUAUUUCAAACCGCGAUACACUCACACACAAAACACAUACAAAUAUUAACACAUAAACAGUAACAUUAAAGAGUAUUUCAUAUAAACAUAUUUAGGUCUUUCAACCU